CUUGUUGAACUGUUAUCUUUUGAAUUGUGGUAUUGCAUAUGAAAUACAUUUAUAUCACUGUGAUAACUGGUUGAUGAAAAGAAGUGUGCAGCUAUGGAUGUAAUGAAUGUGUUAAUAAUUCGGUAAACAGACACAUUUGGACUUAUGUAAUAUAUCAAACCAUUAGUAGAUGCAAAUUAAUGUUUCGCUAUGAUCGGAAGCAAUUAAAUUGGUAGAAAAUUGAAUAUUGCACUCUUCUAGAAAAUAAUUAAAACUGGAGAAGCUGAAUUGCCAAGCAUCAUACCGAAGAUUCAGGGUAUUGCCAUAAUCCAUUAGAAGUGUAUCAAUAUAAAAAAGAGUAGCUGAUGGAAUUAGAUAAAGCAUAAGAGUUGGCCACUAGUGGAUGGUACACGAACUGUUGGGAAUUGCUGUGUGAGUCAUUUACACGUUGAACCAAUACAGUCCAUAAUACAGCCUCUCUUGGAGCAACAGUGUUCUUGUCUCUUGAUCAGUACCAAAAUAAAUGUCCCAUUGAAAUUCAAAGUACACUUUGUUUAUCAUUGUGCCCCAACUCUUAAAAAG
rnacentral:lncRNA from 1 species